UUUCACUCCUUAAUUUCUCCAUUCAUGUUACUUCGCGAUCUUGCGCUUCUCCUCGGAUAUCUUUUCUCUUCCUUUAGCUGAAAAAACUGUCAGAAUUGAAAAAUUUACCAAUUGCGACGAAAUUUAGGUUUAGAGGAAAUUUAUUUAUAUGAUCAAUGGCAGAAGCAAGCAAACACCGAUGUCUGAAUUUAUAAGUUUUCUCUGGUGGAGCACAGUGCCAUUUUGAAUAUGAAGCAUUACAAGGGUUUAAAGAGAUGAUAAAGUAUUUCACACUUUCCAGCUAGCAAUCUAACGGUGUUUCAUUAUGGGAGCCUUGCCGAUUGUGUUACAUCAUCAGUAUGGGAGCCUCUGGAUGUGUGUGCCAUGAUUAUAGAGAAGUAACUCCAGCGAGACAGUUGUGUUUGUGGCGAUUGGCUACAUAGGAAAACCUGAAAAUGCCAGGGAUUUGCAAUGGUUUUGAAGCUCCAGAGCUUGAUCCCUUGGGUUUGUUACAUUUAGUUGAUUUAGAUAAAUCACUGGGGAGUUUCAUCUGAACUAUAGUUGCUUUUAGUUGAGGAUGAUUGAACGAUAAAACAUGGAAUGAAGAAGUAAAUAGAUGAAUAGCUUUAUUUGUCUUCAAGUUGUAUGUUGUGUGUAAGCAAUCUAUUUAACAGAUGCUAAUUACCAUUUGACAAUAUUUAUUACAUUGCUUAAAAAAGUGUAAUGCAUUAGGUCUUUAAGAUGA